GGAUGACUUUCUGUUUGGGAGUCACCCCAAGCAUCAUAAAGACCUUCUCUGUUUUAAUUAACUAGUACUCGACCUCUUCAAAGGAGGAUUCCCCCGCAAAAGUAGAUAGAUUUAGUCUUUUAUACCUCUCAAUGUAGCUUGGGUCCAUCAUGAGAGGAGCUGAAUCCCGUGGAAGAGGGACUGGAUUGUGCUGAGGAUG
rnacentral:lncRNA from 1 species